AAAUUGAAGAGUUUGAUCAUGGCUCAGAUUGAACGCUGGCGGCAGGCCUAACACAUGCAAGUCGAACGGUAACAGGAAGCAGCUUGCUGCUUUGCUGACGAGUGGCGGACGGGUGAGUAAUGUCUGGGAAACUGCCUGAUGGAGGGGGAUAACUACUGGAAACGGUGGCUAAUACCGCAUAACGUCGCAAGACCAAAGAGGGGGACCUUCGGGCCUCUUGCCAUCAGAUGUGCCCAGAUGGGAUUAGCUAGUUGGUGAGGUAACGGCUCACCAAGGCGACGAUCCCUAGCUGGUCUGAGAGGAUGACCAGCCACACUGGAACUGAGACACGGUCCAGACUCCUACGGGAGGCAGCAGUGGGGAAUAUUGCACAAUGGGCGCAAGCCUGAUGCAGCCAUGCCGCGUGUAUGAAGAAGGCCUUAGGGUUGUAAAGUACUUUCAGCGGGGAGGAAGGUGUUGCGGUUAAUAACCGCAGCAAUUGACGUUACCCGCAGAAGAAGCACCGGCU
rnacentral:rRNA from 1 species